rnacentral:rRNA from 1 species
GAUGAACGCUGGCGGCGUGCCUAAUACAUGCCAGUCGAGCGAACAGACGAGGAGCUUGCUCCUCUGACGUUAGCGGCGGACGGGUGAGUAACACGUGGAUAACCUACCUAUAAGACUGGGAUAACUUCGGGAAACCGGAGCUAAUACCGGAUAAUAUAUUGAACCGCAUGGUUCAAUAGUGAAAGACGGUUUUGCUGUCACUUAUAGAUGGAUCCGCGCCGCAUUAGCUAGUUGGUAAGGUAACGGCUCACCAAGGCAACGAUGCGUAGCCGACCUGAGAGGAUGAUCAGCCACACUGGAACUGAGACACGGUCCAGACUCCUACGGGAGGCAGCAGUGGGGAAUAUUGGACAAUGGGCGCAAGCCUGAUGCAGCCAUACCGCGUGGGUGAAGAAGGCCUUCGGGUCGUAAAACCCUUUUGUUGGGAAAGAAAAACAGCAUAUUAAUACCCCGCUGUUCUGACGGUACCUAAAGAAAAAGCACCGGCUAACUUCGUG